UACGAAGGGGGCUAGCGUUGUUCGGAAUAACUGGGCGUAAAGCGCACGUAGGCGGACUUGUAAGUUGGGGGUGAAAGCCCAGGGCUCAACCCUGGAACUGCCUCCGAUACUGCAAGUCUCGAGUCCGGGAGAGGUGAGUGGAAUUCCUAGUGUAGAGGUGGAAUUCGUAGAUAUUAGGAAGAACACCAGUGGCGAAGGCGGCUCACUGGCCCGGUACUGACGCUGAGGUGCGAAAGCGUGGGGAGCAAACAGG
rnacentral:rRNA from 1 species